rnacentral:rRNA from 1 species
CCUACGGGUGGCAGCAGUCGAGAAUCAUUCACAAUGGGGGAAACCCUGAUGGUGCGACGCCGCGUGGGGGAAUGAAGGUCUUCGGAUUGUAAACCCCUGUCAUGCGGGAGCAAAUUAAAAAGCUAGUACCACAAGAGGAAGAGACGGCUAAUUCUGUGCCAGCAGCUGCGGUAAUACAGAGGUCUCAAGCGUUGUUCGGAAUCACUGGGCGUAAAGCGUGCGGAGGCUGUUUCGUAAGUCAUGUGUGAAAGGGGAGGGCUCAACCCGCGGACGGCACAUGAUACUGCGAGACUAGAGUGAUGGAGGGGUAAGCGGAAUGCUCGGUGUAGCAGUGAAAUGCGUAGAUAUC